rnacentral:rRNA from 1 species
GAUGAACGCUGGCGGCGUGCCUAAUACAUGCAAGUCGAGCGAACGGACGAGAAGCUUGCUUUUCUGAUGUUAGCGGCGGACGGGUGAGUAACACGUGGAUAACCUACCUAUAAGACUGGGAUAACUUCGGGAAACCGGAGCUAAUACCGGAUAAUAUUUUGAACCGCAUGGUUCAAAAGUGAAAGACGGUCUUGCUGUCACUUAUAGAUGGAUCCGCGCUGCAUUAGCUAGUUGGUAAGGUAACGGCUUACCAAGGCGACGAUGCGUAGCCGACCGGAGAGGGAGGUCGGCGACACGAGAGCAUGAACACGGACCAGGCGACUACGGGAGGGCGCAGACGGGUACGGUAGGCAGUAGUGGAAAGUCUGGCAGAGUGGGGCGGAGUGAGUGGUAGAGGUGUAGGGAUCGUGAAACGGUGUUACGAGGUAUAAACAGAUGUGGAAGGAAAUGAAGAGUGCGUGACGGUACCGAAUAAAAAAGCAACGGCUAACUACGUG